GUACUCUCACACUUCCGAUCGUUUGGAUUGGGAGCGGUGGAUUUGGGUGUUGCCGCUUUACUGAGGCUCACCUUGAAUGCAUUAGUGCAACUCUUGGUUGGACAUAGUACGGCGUGAUAAGUCUUCGCCGGCACCUCACCAGAGGGUGGCUGAUCAGGAGCUCUGUGCUCCAAACCGUCCUUGGACAAUGACUGACA
rnacentral:misc_RNA from 1 species